UCAGUUCAGCACUAAGUCACUUUGUCUUUAUGGCAAAUGUGAGAUGCAGUGUAUGGAAUGUCAAAUUUCUAGUAUGAGAAAUUAACGAUUUAAGUCCUUCUUAAAUGAGGCCAUUUACCCAUAGAGGGUGCCAGGCCCGUAUAACGUUAAUGAUUACUAGAUGGCAUUUCCAAAGAGUCGUGUUGCUUGAUAGUGCAGCACUAAGUGGGUGGUAAACUCCAUCUAAAACUAAAUAUAACCAUGAGACCGAUAGUAAACAAGUACCGUGAGGGAAAGUUGAAAAGAACUCUGAAUAGAGAGUUAAAUAGUACGUGAAACUGCUUAGAGGUUAAGCCCGAUGAACCUGAAUAUCCAUUAUAGAAAAUUCAUCAUUAUGAUUUUAAUAUUAAUAAUAUUAUAAUAAUGGUGUGCAUUUUUUCUAUAACGGACAUUGUAAUCUAUUAACAUAAAUAUAUUUAUCAUAAGAUCAAUGAUGCGUAAGUUUAUUCAAAUUAUUUUGCUUGCAAUUUAACAUAGAAUAAAUGCUCUUGAUUUGAUAAAGUGUUGAUAGAUUUAUUGUAUAUAGUGCUUAAAUAUUUAUAUUUUAUAAUAGCAUAUUAAUCAUUGAUUUUUAUGUUUAUUAUAUGCACUUAUAUGAUUAACAAUGCGAAAGAUUCAGGAUACCUUCGGGACCCGUCUUGAAACACGGACCAAGGAGUCUAACAUAUUUGCAAGUUAUUGGGUAUCAAAACCUAAUAGCGAAAUUAACAUAACUUUAAUGGGAUUAGUUUUUAGAUUAUUUAUAGUCUAUUAAUUCAAUCCCGGGGCGUUCUAUAUAGUUAUGUAUAAUAAUAUUUAUAUUAUUUAUACCUCUAACUAGAGCGUACCUUGAGCAUAUAUGCUGUGACCCGAAAGAUGUUGAACUAUACUUGAUCA
rnacentral:rRNA from 1 species